AUGGCCGCCGACCUCUGCCCCAGCCGAGCCAGUCCACACUUUUUCGCCAUUCCAAGCCUUGUGGAGGGUGUGAGGUCUGUUAGGCCGUGACAAUCGUUCUCUCAGGCUUUCGACACCACAAGCAGCCGCCGGGAACCCUGCUGGACAUACGGGGAAGGUCCCUGCCUCCCCUGAUGCCUGGGGGCAGACUCCUGGCUGGUGGCUGUCCUCCUCACACCUCCUGCCUCCACAUGUCUUCUCAAAGGUCUUUUUGGUGGUCGGGCUGUGAGUCUCCCAGCCUUGCCAAUGGAAGACUUUCCUCCCCGGCCUUCCUCCUCCUUCAGGUCUUCCAGCUGGUCUCCUCCCGUGUACCUCCACAACUCCUCUGGAAGGUGGAGAGGGAGGAGUGCGGACACUAACGCUGCCUGUUCAGUGUGGGCCCCAAACACCUAGAUGCCAAGGAAGAGAACAUGAAGGUGACGGCAAUGAGAGAGGAGGAGGCAGAGGACGAGGGAAUGAUUUAAAUGCUGCGGAAGAGAGCUGUCUGGGAACUGGCUUGAAGAGAGAUAAGAAGAAGAAGAAGAGGAAGAGGAGGAAGAAGAAGAACAAGAGGAGGAGAAGGAUGAAGGGGGAACACAGGAAACAAUUGGUGAGUGUUGUUAACUUCAUCAGUAAUUCCUUGUUCAUCUUCCUCUGGCAGUAAUUUUCAUCCUACAGUUGUUUCUUUUGUGUUAAAUUCUUGGUCUUCUUUUUUUCCAUUCCCAGCUGAGUCUCCUUGAUGUUAGUUCCCAGCACACACCUCGUAGCAGUUUGGUGGUUUGUACAAUUCCUAAAAAUAUUUUCACAACAGAUAACAACAGUUUCAUUGAGAGGAAUAUUUGUAAAUAGGGAUUUUACAUCAAAUGAUGCCAUGGUACAAUUUUGUAAGUAGACUUGCAGGUUUUUUGCGUGAAUGAAAGUGUCUUUACAGCUUGCACGCACAGAUGACUUGACUUUUGCGCCAGAGUCCAUGCUCAGAGAUAUGCCACGCACCAUGCCAUCAUUAGGAUGCAAGAGACAUUAACUUAGAGGCAGUGACUUGCUACAUCUUUUUCUCCACUCACUGGUGUGAGGGAAGGAGGGUCUCCCUCCCUCCAGGGGCUUGAGUUUGCAUGGUCUUGAACAAAUCAGCCUGAUCUUUAGCCACAUCCUGGUGUUUCCGCCCAUUUUUUCUGGAUUACGUAACAGCUGGAAGACAUCCAGGAGGCAGCAGUCUCUGAUCUUUACAUUGCUGGACACAAAAAUAAGGAAACUUUCAAGCUAAAAGGACUGAAGAGUGAGAAACUUGACCCACUGAUUUAAGGCCGGCAGAGAGUGGACACUCAACAACCAGGAAAAAAAAAACUACAGAAGCAGGAAUGUGUUAGGACGAUAGAUGGCUUGAUGUCACUCCUCACCUUAGAACCAGGAAACUGAGAGAACAAACCCACACUCUCCCUGGUGAUGUGUCGCUCCGUACAGGGCAAGAAACUGCAACGUGACCUUGGCUGCAGGUGUUAUGGCGCGCAGAAGAAGCCACUGAUAAGUGACCUCCAAAGAAAGAGGAGGCUUCAUUAUGCCCAGCCAUGUAAAGAUCAGAUUGUUUUGCCUCCUCUAUGUUUUCCAUCCCUUAUGUAAUCCAGCAACAGUGGAGGGAAACACAAGG